UACGUAGGGGGCAAGCGUUGUCCGGAAUCAUUGGGCGUAAAGCGCGUGUAGGCGGCCCGGUAAGUCCGCUGUGAAAGUCGGGGGCUCAACCCUCGAAUGCCGGUGGAUACUGUCGGGCUAGAGUGCGGGAGAGGCGAGUGGAAUUCCUGGUGUAGUGGUGAAAUGCGUAGAUAUCGGGAGGAACACCAGUGGCGAAGGCGGCUUUCUGGCCUGUUCUUGACGCUGAGGCGCGAAAGCUAGGGGAGCGAACGGG
rnacentral:rRNA from 1 species